GUAACAUGACGUCUGCGACCUUAAAUGACGAAUUAUUGACGUCGUAUUAACGUCACCUUGCUACCUGGGGUAUUUCUUUUCACGCAAAUUGCGAUGAUACACUCGAAUCUGUAAGAUAACGAAAUUAUAAAUAUUGCGAUGAUGCGCUUGAAUCCGCACGCUUUCUAUUGCGCGCUUGCAUCCGUACGAUUUCCUACGUUUUGAAACCGCAUGACUACUAUGAGAAUAGAGAUAAUGCGAGGAUGCACUUAUUUCAUUUUCCGUUAUUUCACUUAUAAAUACCUGAUAAUAUAAUUCUCUCGUUUCAUAAUUAGAUUUACAUUUACAAUUGUUAUAAUUGUAUUUUGUAUUAAAAAAACGUAAUCAAGUUUCAGCUAACCUCCAAGAGAAUACCCGUACGAUUGAUGUUUUUCCGAACAUGUCAAGGGGGAACCACAAACAAAUAAAAUGCCGCGUCGAUAUAUUGCGUCUCGCCAUUCGAAGUGAACACGCAGAUCUCGCAACAUCUCGAGGAAAAUGCGCGCCCAUCUCGUAGUCGCGAUCGCAAUCUCCGUCGUCUGUGCCCUUGUAAACGAAAACGAACGAAUCGUUAGGGAAAACAACGAAUUCGCAAUUAAUUAUCUACAGAAAUAUGGAUCUCUCAGCGAGAAGAUGCAAUCGUUUGAAACCAUUGGCGAACAGCGAAUUCUCCAAGACUCUAUCAGCCUUUUUCAAGAAUAUUAUAAAUUAUCUAUUACCGGCGAGGUGAGCAACGAAACCUUAGAUCAGAUGCGUAAACCGCGAUUUGGACAACCAGACAUUAUACAACAAAAUUCCAAUGCUAUCGAAAAUAAAUGGCCGCAAAAGCAACUCACGUGGAAUUUUCAUUUAGCAACAAAACCAAUGUUAAAAACCACCCGGGCCGCUUUUAAUUUAUGGCAAACUGCAUCGUCAUUGACAUUCAAACGAAAUAUAUCACAUCCAAAUAUUUUAAUAUCAUGGCGCGACGGUAAUCACAUGAUGCUCGAUCGUCGAAAUGGUAACUUGUGCUCCUCUCCUUUGGAUGGUCAGGGAGGGGUACUCGCUCAUGCCGCUUAUCCAACGGAGCACGCAGAUUAUAUUUCCGAAAUUCAUGUCGACAGUAAGGAACAUUGGUAUAUUUAUCUAGAUCAAACUCCAGCAAACUCUGACAGUUUAUUAUAUGUACUGACGUAUGAGAUUGGUCAUUCCUUAGGAUUGCAGCACAAUCCACACACGGAUUCUAUCAUGUGUGCCUACAUAACACAUUAGUCUUAUCCUAUUAAACUAAGCGACGAGGAUAUUCUCAAUAUUCAAAAUCUCUACGGUAACUCGACUACCGAAAAGUCGUCGAAUAAACCGAUAUCCCCCCGAAACUUCCGGUACCAACACCAAAGGAUAUUCCAAACGAUCUGUGCGAAAUAAAACGCAUCGAUGCGAUAUUACUGUUGAGAAAACAAAUGUAUAUCGCGAACAAAAAAUACGUAUGGUUGAUAAGACUGGACGAUAAAAAAUAUAACCAACCACUAACACUUUCUACUUAUUUGAAAUUUCUACCUCCGAAUUAUACGCGCAUUUCAGCCUCGUAUCAAACUCCGUCCGGCGAUAUAAUACUAUUCGUGGAUAAUGCUAUUUACAAAGUGAAUUAUCCGAGCUUCUCGUUGGAUACCAAUUGGCCAAGAACAUUUUCGGAAUUCGGAUUGCCCGCAGAUGCGAUGAUGAACGCCGCGAUAAACAAAUCGGGGAUGCUCCUACGUGAUAUACAACGGAUACAUGAUCGGUGAGGUGGCCGACUAUAACGGAAGCAUCGUUAAAUAUUAUACUAUUCACACGAUCUUUCCGGGAAUACCGCCGAAUAUUGCGUUAGCUUUCCGAUAUCUCGACGGUAACCUUUAUUUCGUGUCGCAACAACAGAUUUACAAAUUCAACGAAUUUACGGAAAACGUACUCUCGGCGAGUAGGUUCGACAUACAAUCGAUCGGCAUCAAUUGUCCGCGAUACGGAUUACUGCAACAAUUGCGCGACCUCUUGCAUAAAUUCACGCGAAAUACCGAACAUUAAUGAGAGAGAAGGACAGCAAUUUAUUUUAGAGCGCAUAGAGAACGGUUAGUCUCGCGUAAUCCGUCUACUGAUACGCAACGUAAGAGCGAAAAUAAUCGACGAUGUAUUCUACGUUGGCGGAACAACAAUCCGAUACGUUCGACAAUGGUAAUGUGAAACGAAAAAAUUCAGAUUGCGCGAAUAAGGAAAAUACGAAGAGAAAACAAACAUUCAACAAUGUCAACGCGCGAUCCGACCCUCCUCGCAUAUUGGCAAGACGAUACACGUUGACGAAAACAGGGUACAAGUACCUAGACAUCGGCAUCGUCGUAAAGUCACCAUCGUACGUGAACAUCGUACUCGGAGAUUGUCACGAAAAAGAAAUCUCAUUCACGAUCGACGAGUGGAAGGAACUGGUAAAACUAAAAUCUACGAUAAUAACGACACUUCGCUCCAACAACAACAACAACAACAACAACAACAACAACAACAACACAGACGACAACAUGGAAUUACCUACGGUUGGAAACAACAUUUUCCUGCGAGUUGGAAAAAUAAACAAUCUACCGAUUCUACGUUUGGAACAUCCCUCUAAUCGUUUGAUCUUAUCGCUCUCAACCGUGAUCGUUAUGUUCGACCACGAUUACUGUAUCGAUCGCAUCGUCAAAGCGCUCUCCCCGGUGACGAAAAUCGUUGACGCGAAAGUCAAACGUUUCCAGGAAAUCACCGCAAACGUCGACAACCCCGCUGACGGUCCGCGCGCGAUCCGGGAAAGCGCGCAAUUCGAUACCAAUGACAUCGUCGAUUGCGAACUAGCCGUUAUCUGUUUCGGAUUCUUUUAAACACGCCGUUCUCGGUUUCGUAAUUUCUUUUGUUGGUUGUAAUAAAAAAAUUGUAUUCUUAAAUAAACAAAUAUAACCUGUC